CAAGAGGUAGUUUAAUUAGAAUAUCAGCUUUGGGUGUUGAUGGUGGGGCAUGAGCUCUUCUCUUGA
rnacentral:tRNA from 1 species